rnacentral:rRNA from 1 species
AACGAACGCUGGCGGCAGGCCUAACACAUGCAAGUCGAGCGAGGACUUCGGUCCUAGCGGCGGACGGGUGAGUAACGCGUGGGAACGUGCCCUUUGCUACGGAAUAGCCCCGGGAAACUGGGAGUAAUACCGUAUGUGCCCGAGAGGGGAAAGAUUUAUCGGCAAAGGAUCGGCCCGCGUUGGAUUAGGUAGGUGGUGGGGUAACGGCCUACCAAGCCGACGAUCCAUAGCUGGUUUGAGAGGAUGAUCAGCCACACUGGGACUGAGACACGGGCCAGACUCCUACGGGAGGGAGCAGUGGGGAAUCUUAGACAAUGGGGGAAACCCUGAUGUAGCCAUGCCGCGUGGGCGAUGAAGGCCUUAGGGUUGUAAAGCUCUUUCAGUGGGGAAGAUAAUGACGGUACCCACAGAAGAAGCCCCGGCUAACUCCGUGCCAGCCGCCGCCGUAACAC